AGCGUAGGCGGACUUUUAAGUGAGAUGUGAAAUACCCGGGCUCAACUUGGGUGCUGCAUUUCAAACUGGAAGUCUAGAGUGCAGGAGAGGAGAAUGGAAUUCCUAGUGUAGCGGUGAAAUGCGUAGAGAUUAGGAAGAACACCAGUGGCGAAGGCGAUUCUCUGGACUGUAACUGACGCUGAGGCUCGAAAGCGUGGGGAGCAAACA
rnacentral:rRNA from 2 species